rnacentral:rRNA from 1 species
GGUACGACUCUCGACAAUAGAUAUCUCAGCUCGUGCAUCAAUGAAGAAUGUAGCGAAAUGCGAUACAUGGUGUGAAUUGCAGAAUCCCAUGAACCAUCGAGUCUUUGAACACAAGUUGCGCUCGAGGCCAUCCGAUCGAGGUAAUGCCUGCCUGGGCAUCACGC